rnacentral:sRNA from 2 species
ACGCCGGAUCCACGAAUAUGGCAUCGCUGUAUUGACCGCUAGUUACUCACUGUGAUCUACCACCGCUCGAACCUACGCAGGUCGCAGCCUCACCAAACGUGUAAAUCCAAAGAAAGGGUGGCAAGGCCGUGCAGGUCCAGUAAGUACAACAUGUACAUGUACAUGUACAUACAAGUACAGGUACAUGUGGACCCCCGAUGCGGUAAUUCAGUUGCCAUUCCAAGGUUCGUGCCCUAAUUGCUUCAUCCAUCGCCGCCGAUGCCGCCGACACUGGGUUCGCAGGAAAGCCCCAGCUCCCCGCAGCC